UGCCCACCUACGGUUCCCAUAAUGAUAUCGAUAACGACGUCGAAUAUGCGCCUAAAAAGCGCGCGCCGCGGCGAACACGUUCGCCAGGGCGGAGGCCAGCUGCUGAUUACACCUCAUCGCGGAUGGAUCGUUUCUCUCUUUCUGCCUGAUCGGGGCCAAGUAUUAUACGGCGAGUGGAAGUGGCCACGGCAUGUGAGCUCUCCCGGGCCACCUACCGCUCAAUGUAAUAAUAUUGACAGCGAUCGGCAGAAGCGGCGGGUAAGUAAGCAAAUAUAAAGUACGCUGAAAAGCCAGCCUUCUCCUGGAACGCGCUUCGGGAUCGAAAGCUGGAGAGAAGGAGGCUGUUGCACGAACUAACGGCGACUAUUAGCGGCAUGCGUCGAUUUAACGGACGACCGGUGAGCGGGAUCUUCGCGAGGAUCAGUUCUGUCGUGCCCGGAUUAUGUCUGAAUGUCGGGGGGGAGGAGGGCAGGUGUGUACGGGCCUUCUCGAUAUAUAUCUGAUCGUAGACGCAGCAAUGUCAAUGUUCGAUCCAUUUUGACUGUGUUUCGCUCCCCUAAUUAGCUGUUAUUGCGCGCUUACACACAGGAUAUCGAAAACAUUGUAUCAAGAUGAAGAAGAAGAAAGUUAAGCUCCUUCGAGAUGAUAAUUUAGAUGUUCCAUAAAGUUUCUAAUAAUCAAGCAACACUGCAGCUUUGUUUAAAACGAAGGAACCAACAUUUAUCGGAAUAUCACGCGAUGAGAGUUAUUAUUAUUAGGCGAGGUUUCGAGAAAAUCAUAUCGAGAUGAGAAGGAAGAGGUAAAUCUCUUUUAAAAUGCACAUCAAGCACCGUUUAAGAAGACGAUCAUCACAAUAUUCGAACAAGAAAGCGCAAGUUCUCAAUCGCCAGUUAAUUUUGACAACUCGGAAUAAAUGAAGAUACAUUGUCGAAGAAGAUUUAUAAAUUAACUUUUAUAAUUUAUAAGUAAAUUUGUAAAAAAACUUUUUAUGAACUCUGACGAUCUAUCGAGAGAAUAUUUCGACAUAUGUGCAAUGAAAAAUAUUA